rnacentral:rRNA from 1 species
CAGUAGCCGCGGUAAUACGAAGGGUGCAAGCGUUAAACGGAAUUACUGGGCGUAAAGCGUGCGUAGGCGGUGAGUUAAGUCUGCUGUGAAAUCCCCGGGCUCAACCUGGGAAUGGCAAUGGAUACUGGCAAGCUAGAGCGUGUCAGAGGAUGGUGGAAUUCCCGGUGUAGCGGUGAAAUGCGUAGAGAUCGGGAGGAACAUCAGUGGCGAAGGCGGCCAUCUGGGACAACACUGACGCUGAGGCACGAAAGCGUGGGGAGCAAACAGGAUUAGAGACCCCCGUAGUCCCUGUCUCUUAUAC